NNCAUUGCAGGUACCCCGCGAAUAAGGACCGGCUAAUUCCGUGCCAGCAGCCGCGGUAAUACGGAAGGUCCGGGCGUUAUCCGGAUUUAUUGGGUUUAAAGGGAGCACAGGCCGGCUGUCAAGCGUGUUGUGAAAUGUAGGCGCUCAACGCCUGACUUGCAGCGCGAACUGACGGUCUUGAGUGCGCGCAACGUUGGCGGAAUUUGUCGUGUAGCGGUGAAAUGCUUAGAUAUGACGAAGAACUCCGAUUGCGAAGGCAGCUGACGGGAGCGUUACUGACGCUUAAGCUCGAAAGCGCGGGUAUCGAACAGGAUUAGAUACCCUGGUAGUCCGCGCGGUAAACGAUGGAUGCCCGCUGUUUGCGUCUAACGUAAGCGGCCAAGUGAAAACGUUAAGCAUCCCACCUGGGGAGUACGCCGGCAACGGUGAAACUCAAAGGAAUUGACGGGGGCCCGCACAAGCGGAGGAACAUGUGGUUUAAUUCGAUGAUACGCGAGGAACCUUACCCGGGCUUGAAUUGCUGAGGAAAGAUCCAGAGAUGGUGAUGCCCUUCGGGGCCUCAGUGAAGGUGCUGCAUGGUUGUCGUCAGCUCGUGCCGUGAGGUGUCGGCUUAAGUGCCAUAACGAGCGCAACCCCUCUCUUCAGUUGCCAUCAGGCUAUGCUGGGCACUCUGGAGACACUGCCACCGCAAGGUGUGAGGAAGGUGGGGAUGACGUCAAAUCAGCACGGCCCUUACGUCCGGGGCUACACACGUGUUACAAUGGGGGGCACAGAGAGCCGGGUGCGCGCAAGCUUGCCCAAAUCCUUAAAUCCCCCCACAGUUCGGACUGGGGUCUGCAACCCGACCCCACGAAGCUGGAUUCGCUAGUAAUCGCGCAUCAGCCAUGGCGCGGUGAAUACGUUCCCGGGCCUUGUACACACCGCCCGUCAAGCCAUGAAAGCUGGGGGUGCCUGAAGUCCGUGACCGCAAGGGACGGCCUAGGGCAAAACUGGUAAUUGGGGCUAAGUCGUAACAAGGUAGCCGUACCGGAAGGUGCGGCUGGAACACCUCCUUU
rnacentral:rRNA from 1 species